AUCCUGUUGUAGCUCUUAAGAGUGAUGUCUGGGUUUUCAUGCUUAUGUGUAAGCUGUGCUCCCUCUAACUUUGUUAUGAUAUCAGUAUAUUAGAUCUGGCA
ensembl:snoRNA